rnacentral:tRNA from 1 species
GGAAGGUAAACUAAAAAGGUUGUUAGGCUCAUACCCUGAAAGUGUGUAAAUCACCCUUCUA